rnacentral:rRNA from 1 species
AUUGAACGCUGGCGGCAUGCUUUACACAUGCAAGUCGAACGGUAACAGGUUAAGCUGACGAGUGGCGAACGGGUGAGUAAUGCAUCGGAACGUGCCCGAUCGUGGGGGAUAACGCAGCGAAAGCUGCGCUAAUACCGCAUACGAUCUGAGGAUGAAAGCGGGGGACCGUAAGGCCUCGCGCGAUCGGAGCGGCCGAUGUCAGAUUAGGUAGUUGGUGGGGUAAAGGCUCACCAAGCCGACGAUCUGUAGCUGGUCUGAGAGGACGACCAGCCACACUGGGACUGAGACACGGCCCAGACUCCUACGGGAGGCAGCAGUGGGGAAUUUUGGACAAUGGGCGCAAGCCUGAUCCAGCAAUGCCGCGUGCAGGAAGAAGGCCUUCGGGUUGUAAACUGCUUUUGUACGGAGCGAAAAGGCUCUCUCUAAUACAGGGGGUUCAUGACGGUACCGUAAGAAUAAGCUCCGGCUAACUCCGUGCCAGCCGCCGCAGUAA